UUGCACGCUUAGGGUAUCUCUGAAGCUUCCAUUUCAGUGACACAGAGCCACCUCACUUUAAUGAAGAAAGGUAUUCCUAACCUGGAUAACUUCACAAGUAGGCUAAUAAAAACUGUUGGAAAAUAUGAAAUACUUCUUAACAUUCAGUUUUUAUGACAUUCAAGUCCCAAAUCUGUAACUAGCAAUUCAAAUAAGAAUUCCCUGGCAGAACAAUUUUAUUAAUAACUAAUGAAAUUUAAUUGCAAUUUUCAAAUAGCCAUGUACCUAUAAAAAUAUGUUCACAGUUUGUUCCCCUAGUAGCUUAACGUGUCUGGUAAAUUCCUAUUUUCCCUGGACAUAUCCUAAAACUUUUUAGAUUAUACAAAGGUAAAAUGAUCCCAGCCCAGUGAAUGAUGUCAGAUUCCUAGUUGUGACUACAUGUGCUUUCAGGAAGCUGUUUGGGUAUCUCAUUUUAGAGGGAAAACCCUAUGGUUUGUAAAUUCUCCACCAUGAGACGUAGCUAAUAAUAACACCAACAAAGAAUAAACAGGAAAAAUAAGGGAAUAAUAUGUCCGUUUGAAUGAUGAAAAGUACAUUCUGUUCGCUUUGGAAUGAGUAACCAUUUUAAAACAAACUUACUGUGUUAAAUAUGUUUUCUAACGCAGAUGAUAAAUUUACGGACCGUGAGUACCCAACAGGGUGGGAGGGCCCCCACCCCAGGCAGUAACAGAUACCGCAGGGUCCGUGGAUUAUCCAGGACUGAUUCUGUCAAACGGUAGGUCCAUUUCCUCUAUUCCCUGCUCUGGUCAGCGGUGACAGCUGCCCUCCCACGGUAUGUGGCCUUGCAUUUUUGUCCUGGAGUAUUUCAUCUGCUUUCUGUUGCUUAUCCCUAAGCUCCGUCCCCAGCAGGAUGCAAGUGAUUGGAGACAGUGUCUGUGACAUCUUACUUCUCAAGACAAACUUGAGCAAUAAGGUUGUGACAAGCAUGAGAUUUCAGGUGAUUUCAUGAGACCCUUGUUGCCUAAUCUUUCUACCAUGAAGAUAUGAUCACGUUGCCCAUGAGAUCCCCAAAGCCUCCCUCUUGCGUUGACGUGAUCCGGCCACCACAGUGUCCACGGUCUCUGAUCCCUCCCCACCUCGCUCUGCCUCCGGUUCAUAGUAAUAAUGUUCCUUGUUCUCUCGGGCUCAGGGUGCCCUGCCCAGUGUGCUGUCCCCGUAUUGUCCCCGUAUUGCCAGCAUCUGGCUCUCUUCCCCUGCCCAGUCUUCUUCACCCGAACCCUGCGUGUCUCUCAGGCUCCGGUCCUUUGAAUUAAUGUCCUUUGCCCAUGUCACCAGGGCAUCCUGCAGUCCCUGUAAUCAGCACAGUGACCACAACGCCUUCCCUGAGUGUCAGUUUGUGGGAUCCUCGUCUCCAGUCUGAGCUCCUAGAAAGCAAAAAAGAUAUCCAACCACUGUGCAGAUCAAAGGAAGGUCAAACUUGGUUUUUCAAAAAUCACAUUAACAGCAGCAGUGAAACUGUGUUGUUGGAGCUGACGGUCCAGCAUACCUGCGUCGGUCUGAGUCUGGAGCUGCCACAUGUGAUUCUGCACCAGGGGUUGGCAUCUGAGCUUUUUGGUAAGUCUGCCCAAGCUGUGACAUUUUGAAAUAAGUUACUCUCCUCUUCUUUCUCCUUUCUAAUUACCAUUAGGGCAUUGCAUUGAUUAUUUUUAAAUUUAUGUGCGCAUUGAGUUAUACUAUCUAUAAAUUUCAUUUUAGAACAGUUAAAGAGAUGUCAUGAAAUACUUGUUCUAAGGAGGGCUCGUUGGUUCUAACAGGGCUGAGAAUCACUGCCUUAGAGGCUGGGCCUCGUGCUUUUGAAAUCUGCGGUGGAUUAUGCACAGAGAGGCACCAAAAUCUCAAAGCCGGUGUUCGGACCCUGGAUCUGUUUAUGCAGACCCACUCCAGUGCUCACCAGCUGUAGGCCCUUGGGCAAGUCACCUCACUGCUCUGUGCCUCAGUUUCCAAAUCUGUAAAAAUAGGAAUUCUAAUACCUCCCUGUUGGGGUUAUUGGAAGGAUGAAAUGAGUUAAUACACAUAAAUACUUAGACUAGUGCUUGGCUCACAGUAAGAGCUCAAAAGCGGUUAACUGGAAACCAUAAAAAGAGCAGUGUACACAAUUGACAGCAGCCACGAACAAGGCCAGUCUGAAAACACAGGAGUAUGUUCUAGAUCGUGCUCAUAAACGCUUCUCCUUUUACAUUUAGCUGUUUCUUUCCUUAACUAUGUUGAGUAAUUUGAGAUACCUGGACAUCAGGCCCCUUUUAGGUAUGGAGAAGGCAGGAGACUAGCAGUCAGAGCCCCUCUGCCUUGAGACCGGGCAAAGGCACAAGGUCUCUGGGUGUGUUUCCUCCACUGGAAAUCAUAGAGACGGGGCCAAACAACUCUCCUGGGUCACAGUUCUGCCUCUAACUAGUUCAGAAAAGAACUAUUGACAGUGACAUGUGAUAGUACAUUUAACUCUGGGCUCCCAAGCCCCACCUGCAGGGGACAGGUGGGCACCAUGGCAGAAGGAGCUGAGCCAGGUGGAGAGACCAGGCAGGAGGCUGGUGAUGCCAGGGGUCCUGUCUGCAUGGCAGAGCAGGCGCCAUAUUUUCUAUUUGUCACGAGAAGGCAGAAAUCCAGAUUCUUAUGAGAAAUGUCCCAAUGUCUAAAUCUCCGCAGGCCCAAGGGCACGUCUGCGGGCUGCAUGCGGCAGACUGAGACCUCUACAAAAGUUCACUUCCUUUGCUGCUUUCACAAGCCUGGAUGCAGAAAAUAUUUUUUAAAUUUCAAAAUAUAAAGUGUGUGUUAAGUAAAGACAUUUGCUUUCAUUACAUAGCAAAGAAUAUCACUAAGGAGAUAAAAAUGAAGCACCUUGAUUUAAAAUUUCAAAUAGAGUU